GGCCGAGUGGCGGAAUUGGCAGACGCAGCGGAUUCAAAAUCCGCCGACCUCCGGGUUUUGUGGGUUCGAGUCCCACCUUGGCUACCA
rnacentral:tRNA from 1 species